CCAAGUUUUUAAGGGCGCACGGUGGAUGCCUUGGCACCAGGAACCGAUGAAGGACGUGGGAGGCCACGAUAGUCCCCGGGGAGUCGUCAACCAGGCUUUGAUCCGGGGGUUUCCGAAUGGGGAAACCCGGCAGUCGUCAUGGGCUGUCACCCUUGCCUGAACACAUAGGGCAAGUGGAGGGAACGCGGGGAAGUGAAACAUCUCAGUACCCGCAGGAAGAGAAAACAACCGUGAUUCCGGGAGUAGUGGCGAGCGAAACCGGAUGAGGCCAAACCGUAUGCGUGUGAGACCCGGCAGGGGUUGCGUAUACGGGGUUGUGGGAUCUCUCUUUCACAGUCUGCCGGCUGUGAGACGAGUCAGAAACCGUUGAUGUAGGCGAAGGACAUGCGAAAGGUCCGGCGUAGAGGGUAAGACCCCCGUAGCUGAAACAUCAGCGGCUCGUUUGAGAGACACCCAAGUAGCACGGGGCCCGAGAAAUCCCGUGUGAAUCUGGCGGGACCACCCGCUAAGCCUAAAUAUUCCCUGGUGACCGAUAGCGGAUAGUACCGUGAGGGAAUGGUGAAAAGUACCGCGGGAGCGGAGUGAAAUAGUACCUGAAACCGUGUGCCUACAAGCCGUGGGAGCGUCGGGCAAGCACUUGUGCUUGCCUCGUGACUGCGUGCCUUUUGAAGAAUGAGCCUGCGAGUUUGCGGUGUGUUGCGAGGUUAACCCGAGUGGGGUAGCCGUAGCGAAAGCGAGUCCGAACAGGGCGUUUCAGUAGCACGCUCAAGACCCGAAGCGGAGUGAUCUAGCCAUGGGCAGGUUGAAGCGGAGGUAAGACUUCGUGGAGGACCGAACCCACCAGGGUUGAAAACCUGGGGGAUGACCUGUGGUUAGGGGUGAAAGGCCAAUCAAACUCCGUGAUAGCUGGUUCUCCCCGAAAUGCAUUUAGGUGCAGCGUCGUGUGUUUCUUGCCGGAGGUAGAGCACUGGAUAGGCGAUGGGCCCUACCGGGUUACUGACCUUAGCCAAACUCCGAAUGCCGGUAAGUGAGAGCGCGGCAGUGAGACUGUGGGGGAUAAGCUCCAUGGUCGAGAGGGAAACAGCCCAGAGCAUCGACUAAGGCCCCUAAGCGUACGCUAAGUGGGAAAGGAUGUGGAGUCGCAGAGACAACCAGGAGGUUGGCUUAGAAGCAGCCACCCUUGAAAGAGUGCGUAAUAGCUCACUGGUCUAGUGAUUCCGCGCCGACAAUGUAGCGGGGCUCAAGCGUACCGCCGAAGUCGUGUCAUUCCAGCAUAUAGGGCCAACGCCUGCUGGGAUGGGUAGGGGAGCGUCGUGUGCCGGGUGAAGCCGCGCCGGAAGGCAGUGGUGGACGGUUCACGAGUGAGAAUGCAGGCAUGAGUAGCGAUACAAACGUGAGAAACGUUUGCGCCGAUUGACCAAGGGUUCCUGGGUCAAGCUGAUCUGCCCAGGGUAAGUCGGGACCUAAGGCGAGGCCGACAGGCGUAGUCGAUGGAUAACCGGUUGAUAUUCCGGUACCCGCUGUGAAGCGUCAAACAUCGAACCAGGCGAUGCUAAGUCCGUGAAGCCGCCCCGGAGCCUUCGGGCAAAGGGGAGUGGUGGAGCCGACGAACCAGACUUGCAGUAGGUGAGUGAUGGGGUGACGCAGGAAGGUAGUCCAUCCCGGGCGGUGGUUGUCCCGGGGUAAGGGUGUAGGCCGUGCGGCCCGUACCCUAAACCGACUCAGGUGGUCAGGUAGAGAAUACCGAGGCGUUCGGGUGAACUAUGGUUAAGGAACUCGGCAAAAUGCCCCCGUAACUUCGGGAGAAGGGGGGCCAUCACCGGUGAUAGCACUUGCUGCUUGAGCUGGGGGUGGCCGCAGAGACCAGCGAGAAGCGACUGUUUACUAAAAACACAGGUCCGUGCGAAGCCGUAAGGCGAUGUAUACGGACUGACGCCUGCCCGGUGCUGGAACGUUAAGGGGACCGGUUAGUCACUCUUCGGGGUGGCGAAGCUGAGAACUUAAGCGCCAGUAAACGGCGGUGGUAACUAUAACCAUCCUAAGGUAGCGAAAUUCCUUGUCGGGUAAGUUCCGACCUGCACGAAUGGCGUAACGACUUCUCGACUGUCUCAACCAUAGGCCCGGUGAAAUUGCACUACGAGUAAAGAUGCUCGUUUCGCGCAGCAGGACGGAAAGACCCCGGGACCUUUACUACAGUUUGAUAUUGGUGUUCGGUUCGGCUUGUGUAGGAUAGCUGGGAGACUGUGAAGCUCGGACGCCAGUUCGGGUGGAGUCGUCGUUGAAAUACCAGUCUGGUCGUGCUGGAUGUCUAACCUGGGUCCGUGAUCCGGAUCAGGGACAGUGUCUGAUGGGUAGUUUAACUGGGGCGGUUGCCUCCCAAAGGGUAACGGAGGCGCCCAAAGGUUCCCUCAGCCUGGUUGGCAAUCAGGUGGUGAGUGUAAGUGCACAAGGGAGCUUGACUGUGAGACCGACGGGUCGAGCAGGGACGAAAGUCGGGACUAGUGAUCCGGCGGUGGCUUGUGGAAGCGCCGUCGCUCAACGGAUAAAAGGUACCCCGGGGAUAACAGGCUGAUCUUCCCCAAGAGUCCAUAUCGACGGGAUGGUUUGGCACCUCGAUGUCGGCUCGUCGCAUCCUGGGGCUGGAGUCGGUCCCAAGGGUUGGGCUGUUCGCCCAUUAAAGCGGUACGCGAGCUGGGUUUAGAACGUCGUGAGACAGUUCGGUCCCUAUCCGCUGCGCGCGCAGGAAUAUUGAGAAGGGCUGUCCCUAGUACGAGAGGACCGGGACGGACGAACCUCUGGUGUGCCAGUUGUUCUGCCAAGGGCAUGGCUGGUUGGCUACGUUCGGGAGGGAUAACCGCUGAAAGCAUCUAAGCGGGAAGCCUGCUUCGAGAUGAGUAUUCCCACCCACUUGAUGGGGUAAGGCUCCCAGUAGACGACUGGGUUGAUAGGCCAGAUAUGGAAGCCCAGUAAUGGGUGGAGUUGACUGGUACUAAUAGGCCGAGGGCUUGUCCUC
rnacentral:rRNA from 1 species